AUUGAACGCUGGCGGAAUGCUUUACACAUGCAAGUCGAACGGCAGCACGGACUUCGGUCUGGUGGCGAGUGGCGAACGGGUGAGUAAUAUAUCGGAACGUAUCCAAUAAUGGGGGAUAACUAGUCGAAAGAUUGGCUAAUACCGCAUACGCCCUACGGGGGAAAGCAGGGGAUCUUCGGACCUUGCGUUAAUGGAGCGGCCGAUAUCUGAUUAGCUAGUUGGUGGGGUAAAGGCCCACCAAGGCGACGAUCAGUAGCUGGUCUGAGAGGACGACCAGCCAAACUGGAACUGGGACACGGUCCAGACUCCUACGGGAGGCAGCAGUGGGGAAUAUUGGACAAUGGGCGCAAGCCUGAUCCAGCCAUUCCGCGUGAGUGAAGAAGGCCUUCGGGUUGUAAAGCUCUUUCGCAAGGGAAGAAAACUUAGCCACUAACAUUGGCUGAGGUUGACGGUACCUUGAUAAGAAGCACCGGCUAACUACGUGCCAGCCGCCGCCGUAAGAC
rnacentral:rRNA from 1 species